rnacentral:rRNA from 1 species
GACAGAGGGUGCGAACGUUGUUCGGAAUUACUGGGCGUAAAGCGAGUGUAGGCGGUUCUGUAAGUCGUAUGUGAAAGCCCCGGGCUCAACCCGGGAAGUGCACUCGAUACUGCAGAGCUAGAGUACUGGAGAGGUGGGUGGAAUUCUCGGUGGAGAGGUGAAAUGCGUAGAAAGCGAGAGGAAAACCGGCGGCGAAGGCGGCCCACUGGACAGAUACUGACGC